UUAACUCAAAUUUGUAUGGAGUUGAAACGUUUCCUUUCGUUUGCCGCUAGGGGCGCUGUUCCAACUGCAUACAAAAUUGAGUUA
rfam:Bombyx mori DNA, contig: Bm_scaf5_contig4421, strain: p50T/Dazao, build 2, whole genome shotgun sequence.